UAUUAGGCUAAUUAUUUAGCAAAAGCAAUGUUUAGUAUAAAAAUCAUGUUUUACAAAAGUGAUACAAAUCUUAAAAUAUAUAUAUAUUUUUUAUUUUGAUUUUAUCCCACUAUCAUACAUUUUGCACCAAUGUAUUGGUCGUAGAACUACAAAAUGAGUUUCAAAUUCGCGAUUUAAAGAAAGAUUUUAAGAGGUUUAUGAAUGCUGCAUGACUGUGACGUGUUUAAACGGACUCGCGUGCUGAAUUCGCGCGCUCAUUCAAACGCUGCAGCGGAGGGAGUUUCCAUGGAAACGGUGCGCAACACUGUAACUGACGAACAGUAAAUCUCCGUCUCUCGCUGCUGUUUUCACUGCUUUCAGAUGAGUUUAGUCCCUAAAAUCACACAAAUAUCACACACAACUUCCAGACACUUUCUUACAUGUAACUGACAUGUUUCUGUUGAAUAUUUACUUCACAGAAAUGUUUUACAGUCUUCGAAAAAGUCCGCUAGCAUCUGUUUUCAGACGAGGAGUGAUAAUAUAAUCUUUCUACAAAGGAAGAGAAGCUCCAAGAUUUCAAAAUUUCUGAAGGGAGCUGCUGACAGAAAUGCAGGAAACACAGAUUAUGAUGGCCGUGCAGCAGAGGAGCGCAGAGUCUCCUGUCGGACAACAUCUCUAAGUCGCUAUGAACCAUGUGACUAGAUGCUAUGUACCCAGCCUCAACCAUUCAGCAGAAGGACUGUGAAAGCGGGAACUCUUUGAACCAGCAGUGGCAGUUAUAGUGGAUAGUGGAUAGUAGUGGAUGAUGAGGGACUGACAUUAACCUGCCAAAAAAGGUUUCUCUGUGACAUCGCCGCGAAACCCCCUUUUUGGUUCUUUCUGUCACCUUUUUUUAAGAGUGUAGACGAGUGUGCAACUGACCAAUAACAACUGAGUAUUCCAGCAAGCUGUUUAUUAAUAUUGUGUAGAAGUGUACCAUAUGGGGUGAGGAUCAAGACAACCAAACCAAAGGUGGACUGUAACCUACUGGACUAUAUGAUAGACUUCAUACUGACCACUACUGCCAUGUAUGCAGCAUGAGACGUUUUUGAAAAGAGGGGCAUUUCCUUCACCAAGUAAAAGUGUGGAGGAUUCAUCUGGCCUUCAUCGGGCCUCAUGAGGUGACUCGGUGUAGAAUAAAUCAGCUUGCUUUAGGCUUGAAAUGACUGAAAUCUUCUCGUGAGUUGAUAUCAUUUAAACAUUCUUUAAAGUACUUCUCAUUUCUUGUGAAUGUAUUUUGUAGUAUGUGUAAAACUUUUCCACUGAAAGAACCUUUUUUACCGUUAUUGAUAUUGUAAUCAAGGUUGUUAAUGCGAUGGACUGCACACAUCUGUCUGUGUUGGGCUUGUGUUUACAGGUCGUAUAAAACUAGGCCUGGCUGCAACAACUAAUCGAUAAUUAAAAUAAUCAUCAACGAAUUUGAAUAGUGCAUCAAAACAAACAGACCGCUCAUAAUUCUGACUAAAAUACACAUUACAAAUAUUUUUUUGCUAGAAAUUAAGUGUAGGUUUAAAGCCCUACAUGUAACACAAGUAAUCAUAUUUAUGAGAGCAGUAACAGUAAAGGCACUAUUGUUGGAACUGUCCAUUAAUAUAAUAUAAUAUAAUUGCUCUGUUCAGACGAAUGAUUGUGUUUAUUCUUCGUACCUCUUACAAGUUAACAUUGUGUUUUUUUGUUUAAAUUGUUUUCAAUUCUGUUUCAAAAUAACAAGCAAUCUGUUGUUUUUAGGUUUAGAAUGUAAUGUUUGUAUUUUAACACUUUAAUGCUUAUAAUGAACAGCAGAGCCGACAUUGAGACAUUCUUUAUAUUUGUUUUCAUAGACAGGAUGUGAAAUUACAUUCUUUAAAAUAAUGAAUUAAAAUGAUCUUAAUUAAAAAAUUAUGUAUAUAUUUUAUUUAUUUAUUUAUUUGUCAUCCAAUUACUAGUAUUAAUUAAAAAAAUUACAAAUAAAUUGAUUAUCAAAAAAAUGUGUUAGUUGCAUGCAGCCCUACAUAAGAUAUUGUUAAAGAGGUCGGCGGUAUAAUGUUGUGUGUGAACACGAAGUCAUGUUUAUUUGUGCAACAUGUAAUUAAUUUCUAUAGAGAUAAUGCAUUAUUACAGUGAAACUAUUUGCUAUUUUUAUUUUGUAAAUUAGCAGAAAACCAUCUCUACCACUG